GUAGCAACAGUGGAAUUUCAUGCCAUAAAAUAUCUUAUUGACACCCAACGGCCAUCAUGCCUUUGCGGAUAAGGCUAAUCCUUGAGGCAAGGAAAAGAAGAGGAGAGAAACAAAUUGCAUUCCACUCAGCAAAAUGAACACUAUUCCUAAUCAACAUUUUGCACAAGCCAAUUCCAUCCUCUUGUCUCCUCGGGCCAGCUCCAAGACUAGAGCUUCUCGAAGGAGAAAUGAUUUCUCACUGACAACGAAUAGAAGUCAAAAGGCUCCACGGGGAUUGAUCAAGAUAUCAACAGCAGAUGGGAGAUGGCAAAAAAAUUGGAAUCUAGACUACAAUUUGUCACUCCAAGAGCUUCAACUUCAGGAUUUAGCUGAAGAUGGGCAUAAAGAAAAUGAGGUUUCCAUCAGCCUUUGCAUUCACAAGGUCCUUCACUCCUUCAAUGAUUCUCUUAAUGUAAACCAUUCCUUAUUUUGCCUAUGUAGACAUACAUGUGAUAUCUUGGUUUUUUUUCUGAGAAUACAACUAUUUUUGCUGAAAAAUUAGUAUUUACUAUUGAUUGGUAAAUGACCUAUGACUAGACUUUAAAUUAUGCAAAGAAAUUUAGUAA